AGGGCUCAUAUGAAGUGUAAAUUAUGAAAGCUCUGUCACAGUGGGAAAAAACCCAGUUCAUAUGAAGGGGCGGUAAGAGAAAGAGGAAGAGGGGAAAGAAGACUAAGAACCUGAGAUACCAAAGCCAAACCCAUUUGGUGAAAAUAGUGUGGCGACACCUUCAAGUUCUUAACAACGUUGUUUUCUUUUUCUUUUCAUUUCUCUGUGGACAUUGAUAAAUGGAGAAGAUCCUAACUCCGAUAGAAGUUGGGUUCUGAUUUCCCGAUUGAAUUGGGUAUUUCCCACUAAAGAC
rnacentral:lncRNA from 1 species